UACGGGGGGGGCAAGCGUUGUUCGGAAUUACUGGGCGUAAAGGGCUCGUAGGCGGCCAACUAAGUCAGACGUGAAAUCCCUCGGCUUAACCGGGAACUGCGUCUGAUACUGGAUGGCUUGAGGUUGGGAGAGGGAUGCGGAAUUCCAGGUGUAGCGGUGAAAUGCGUAGAUAUCUGGAGGAACACCGGUGGCGAAGGCGGCAUCCUGGACCAAUUCUGACGCUGAGGAGCGAAAGCCAGGGGAGCAAACGGG
rnacentral:rRNA from 1 species